rnacentral:lncRNA from 1 species
AUGUAUCUACUUAUCGUAUUUUUGCCCCUGCUCGGUAGUUCCGUAGCUGGUUUUUUCGGACGUUUUCUAGGAUCAGAAGGAACUGCUAUAAUGACCACUACAUGCGUUUCAUUCUCUUCGAUCUUAUCUUUGAUUGCUUUUUAUGAAGUCGCAUCGGGAGCUAUUGCUUGCUAUCUAAGAAUUGCUCCAUGGAUCUCAUCGGAAGUGUUUGAUGCUUCUUGGGGCUUCUUUGGCGACCAUGAAGUCACCGGAUGA